AGGAAGUGAUGAUGGGCUGUACAACUUCAAGCCCAUCCCCAGGAGCGUCCCACUUUCUCUGGUGAGCUCCACCUCCCAAGGGUUCCAUAACCUCCAAAAAAAAGUGUCUGCAGCUGGAGAGCAAGUGCUGCAACACGCAAUGCUGCAAGGAUGAGGAUGAGGACGAGGACGCUUCACCUUCAACCUUCUCUCUACAGCACCCAGGGCUUCCUGGAGGAGGGACUGUCUCCUGUGGUGGGUCGUGUUUUCUUAAAGGAAUAGCAUGCAUUAUUUCCAUGCCAUGGACUCUCUUUAAGACUUGCCACACCCACUCCUGGUGAUGAAGUCUGUGUGCCUUCCCUUGAACAUGAGCAGGUCCUGGUGGUAACUGUGCUCAGUAAAAUGAGAAAUAAAGAAGGCUGUAGGACUUUCAAGUUAGGUGAAGAAAAAAAACUAUAGACUCUCUUGAUUUCUGUCUUCCUAGAUGGCUGUUCUAGGAACAUAGUUGCCAUGUUGGGAGGAAAUCUAAAAACAGAGAGAUUGUGCAGGUGUCCCAGUUCACAGGCCCAGCUUGUGGCAAAAUUGACCCCUUCGAAUGCGUAGUUGAGAAAACAUUCAAGAAGACUCCAGGCCCAGAGUCUGACUACAAUGAGACCCUGAAGAAAAACCACCCAGCUGAGCCCAGCCAAGCCUAGAAUCAUGGGGCACGGUCAAAGACAUUGUCACUAUUUGAAGUCACCACGUUUGGGGCAUUCGUUAUACAUCACGGUAUGAGUCUUAGUUUAUAAUGAAGGUUAACCAGGUAGUAGAUAAAUCAAGUUCUAGAUAACAAGGAUGCUACAUACAAAGAAAACUUGCAUGAAAUAGAUCCCUCUGACAUAGAUUGAAGGAAGUUGCAAGGUCUGCAAGAUUAAACAAUACAGAGGCAGGUUCCAUGCUAAAUCAGGGAGUUAUGGAGGGUUUCAAGCAAGGGAAAGACCUCCAGGACUUAGUAAGAAGCCGCAAUAUGGACAAUGGGAUGAAGGAAGUAGAGACUAUUUAUGACCAUCUAUACCAGUGCCAACGUCUUGGGCAAUGAGCAGAUCGGAGGUUAUUCCAUGAGCCUACUCAGGAGAAGGCAGUGCUGGGGUAGUGGGAUUAUGAGUCCUGUGGUAUUUCAAACACACGGUCAGUUCUGUGGCUGGAUGAAUACACGAGGUAAAGAGAAGAGGGGAAGUCUCUUGGGCUUCUGAAUUGCAAGGCGUUGUAGUUUCAUUUGCAUUGCUGUGGUAAAACACCCCCAAAAAGUAGCUUUAAGGAAGGGUGUGUUUAGUUUACAAUUCCAGGUCACAGACCAUCACUGCAGGACCUCAAAGCAGGAACUUGAAAUAACUGGUCACAUUCAUGGUUAAGAGCAGAGAGAGAAGGAAUGCAUAUGUGCCUGUAUGUGCUCAGCUCUCUCUCCCUGGAUGCAGUCUGAGAUGCCCUGCCUAAGGGAUGGAGCCAUCCACAGUGGACUGGACCUUCCCACAUCAGUGAACACAACCAAGACAACUCCGCCACAGACAUGUGCACCAGUCAAUCUGAUUUUGGCAGCCACUCCAUUGAGACUCUCUUCCUAGUACUGAGGAUUCCGGACUCAGGUCCUCAUGCUGUGCUGCAAGAAUUUACCCACUGAGCCAUCAUCUCAGCCCUCCCCUGGAGAGAACAUCAAAAGUAUCAAUUCCAUUGUAUCCAAUCCCAACCAAAGCCCACUCUCUGGGGAGCAGAGUGUGGCUCAGGCACCUACAGUCUGAAACCUUCCCUAGGCAAUCCACAGCAGGGGCUGCUGCUGGCACUCACCCAACGCUGGUGAUAACUCACUCGACCACAACAAUUUAAACAUGCGUCUCUCCGC
rnacentral:lncRNA from 1 species